rnacentral:rRNA from 1 species
UACGUAGGGUCCGAGCGUUAAUCGGAAUUACUGGGCGUAAAGCGUGCGCAGGCGGUUUUGGAAGCCAGAUGUGAAAGCCCCGGGCUUAACCUGGGAAUGGCAUUUGGGACUGCAAGGCUGGAGUACGGCAGAGGGAGGUGGAAUUCCAGGUGUAGCAGUGAAAUGCGUAGAGAUCUGGAGGAACACCGAUGGCGAAGGCAGCCUCCUGGGCUAGUACUGACGCUCAUGCACGAAAGCGUGGGGAGCAAACAGG